UUACGGCCACAUCAUGUUGAAGCACUGAUUCUUGUCCAAUCACUGAAGUUAAGCAACAUCAAGCCUGGUCAGAAACAAGAUGGGUGACUACUUGGGAAUGCCAGGUGCUGUAAG